AUACUCACUACCACAACAUAUAUACUAAAAUUGGUACAAUACAGAGAAGAGUAGCAUGGCCCUGCACAAGGAUGACAUGAGAAUAAACUUCUCAUAGGCAUACUUA